rnacentral:rRNA from 1 species
GAUGAACGCUGGCGGCGUGCCUAAUACAUGCAAGUCGAGCGAACAGAUGAGGAGCUUGCUCCUCUGACGUUAGCGGCGGACGGGUGAGUAACACGUGGAUAACCUACCUAUAAGACUGGGAUAACUUCGGGAAACCGGAGCUAAUACCGGAUAAUAUAUUGAACCGCAUGGUUCAAUAGUGAAAGACGGUUUUGCUGUCACUUAUAGAUGGAUCCGCGCCGCAUUAGCUAGUUGGUAAGGUAACGGCUUACCAAGGCAACGAUGCGUAGCCGACCUGAGGGGGUGAUAGGCCACACUGGAACUGAGACACGGUCCAGACUCCUACGGGAGGCAGCAGUAGGGAAUCUUCCGCAAUGGGCGAAAGCCUGACGGAGCAACGCCGCGUGAGUGAUGAAGGUCUUCGGAUCGUAAAACUCUGUUAUUAGGGAAGAACAAAUGUGUAAGUAACUAUGCACGUCUUGACGGUACCUAAUCAGAAAGCCACGGCUAACUACGUG